rnacentral:rRNA from 1 species
UACGUAGGGGGCAAGCGUUGUCCGGAAUCAUUGGGCGUAAAGAGCGUGUAGGCGGCCAGAUAAGUCCGCUGUGAAAACUCGAGGCUCAACUUCGAGCUGUCGGUGGAAACUAUUUGGCUAGAGUCCGGAAGAGGAGAGUGGAAUUCCUGGUGUAGCGGUGAAAUGCGCAGAUAUCAGGAGGAACACCAAUGGCGAAGGCAGCUCGCUGGAACGGUACUGACGCUGAGGCGCGAAAGCGUGGGGAGCGAACAGG